rnacentral:lncRNA from 1 species
UCACCUGACUCCCUCACCUGACAGUAGCAACAACCGGCGAAGUAUAUCUCUGGUGAAGGCUGUUCAUUGUACCUCAACAAUGGUCGUUCACAGAGUCAUCUGCAGCCAGUGGAAGUGAAUGGUGCAGACAACGAGGUCCAGAACAUCCACCAGCCUAUAUACAGAGCUCUCCCCCCAUCAGCAUUUUAGAGGGAAAUGGCAGGCUUCCUACAGAGAUCUUGUGUUUGGAGGGUAUGGCCAGGGCCUACAUGGAUGUUUACACUUCACACAAGAUUGCCUGCUAGAGAGUGCGUUCAAGAAAGUCAUGACCAUCACUUCUAAGCCAAAGAAGGCUCUACGUGAUUUUUAAGGGGGAGGCUGGUUUGGAUCAGAGUGGCUUAUCUCGGGAGUUCUUCUGCCAGCUGUCCAGGAUGCUGUUCAACCGGAGCCAUGGGUUGUUUGAAUAGCUACGUCGUACAAAUCAGACCCAACUCCCUUGCCAGUAAAGAUCACUUGAAAUUGUCAGUGCCUGAUGUUCUGUUAACACCUCAAAUAUAUAUCAAAUGGUUUUCACCACUUUUGCCAAAUAAAUCUUUGUUUUAAUGAAUGGUACUUUCUAUG